AGUGAACGCUGGCGGUAGACCUAACACAUGCAAGUCGAACGGCAGCACAGUAAGAGCUUGCUCUUACGGGUGGCGAGUGGCGGACGGGUGAGGAAUACAUCGGAAUCUACUUUUUCGUGGGGGAUAACGUAGGGAAACUUACGCUAAUACCGCAUACGACCUACGGGUGAAAGCAGGGGAUCUUCGGACCUUGCGCGAUUGAAUGAGCCGAUGUCGGAUUAGCUAGUUGGCGGGGUAAAGGCCCACCAAGGCGACGAUCCGUAGCUGGUCUGAGAGGAUGAUCAGCCACACUGGAACUGAGACACGGUCCAGACUCCUACGGGAGACAGCAGUGGGGAAUAUUGGACAAUGGGCGCAAGCCUGAUCCAGCCAUACCGCGUGGGUGAAGAAGGCCUUCGGGUUGUAAAGCCCUUUUGUUGGGAAAGAAAAGCAGCAGGUUAAUACCCCGCUGUUCUGACGGUACCCAAAGAAUAAGCACCGGCUAACUUCGUG
rnacentral:rRNA from 1 species